rnacentral:rRNA from 1 species
AGUGAACGCUGGCGGUAGGCCUAACACAUGCAAGUCGAACGGCAGCACAGUAAGAGCUUGCUCUUACGGGUGGCGAGUGGCGGACGGGUGAGGAAUACAUCGGAAUCUACUUUUUCGUGGGGGAUAACGUAGGGAAACUUACGCUAAUACCGCAUACGACCUACGGGUGAAAGCAGGGGAGCUUCGGACCUUGCGCGAUUGAAUGAGACGAUGUCGGAUUAGCUAGUUGGCGGGGUAAAGGCCCACCAAGGCGACGAUCCGUAGCUGGUCUGAGAGGAUGAUCAGCCACACCGGAACUGAGACACGGUCCAGACUCCUACGGGAGGCAGCAGUGGGGAAUAUUGGACAAUGGGCGCAAGCCUGAUCCAGCCAUACCGCGUGGGUGAAGAAGGCCUUCGGGUUGUAAAGCCCUUUUGUUGGGAAAGAAAAGCAGCAUGUUAAUCCCCCGCUGUUCUGACGGUACCCAAAGAAUAAGCACCGGCUAACUUCGUG